rnacentral:rRNA from 1 species
UACGGAGGGGGCUAGCGUUGUUCGGAAUUACUGGGCGUAAAGCGCGCGUAGGCGGACCUGCAAGUCGGGGGUGAAAGCCCGAGGCUCAACCUCGGAACUGCCCUUCGAUACUGCGGGUCUCGAGGUCCGGGAGAGGUGAGUGGAAUUCCUAGUGUAGAGGUGAAAUUCGUAGAUAUUAGGAAGAACACCAGUGGCGAAGGCGGCUCACUGGACUGGUAUUGACGCUGAGGUGCGAAAGCGUGGGGAGCAAACAGGG